rnacentral:rRNA from 1 species
CCUACGGGAGGCAGCAGUGAGGAAUAUUGGUCAAUGGACGAGAGUCUGAACCAGCCAAGCCGCGUGAAGGAUGACUGCCCUAUGGGUUGUAAACUUCUUUUAUAUGGGAAUAAAACGUUCCACGAGUGGGCGUUUGUAUGUACCAUAUGAAUAAGGAUCGGCUAACUCCGUGCCAGCAGCCGCGGUAAUACGGAGGAUCCGAGCGUUAUCCGGAUUUAUUGGGUUUAAAGGGUGCGUAGGUGGAUUGUUAAGUCAGUUGUUAAAGUUUGCGGCUCAACCGUAAAAUUGCAGUUGACACUGGCAGUCUUGAGUACAGUAGAGGUGGGCGGAAUUCGUGGUGUAGCGGUGAAAUGCUUAGAUAUCGCGAAGAACUCCGAUUGUGAAGGCAGUUCACUGGACUGCAACUGACACUGAGGCACGAAAGUGUGGGUAUCAAACAGGAUUAGAUACCCUUGUAGUC